AUAGGACAAUUCUGUUGAGAAAAUCAACAACACCUAGUUGAGUCUUUGCUACAAUAUAACAAGAUAUUUUAUCGUGAAUCAAUAAAAUUAAAUCAUUUUAGCAAUGAAUAUCUAGCUGAGACAGCGUAAAAAAUAAAAAAUAAACCAUAUGACCACCCUUAGCAGCUUGUCCCAUUGAGAACACAUGCUUAAAUUAUCAAGGCUUUUCCUCGUACCUUGAAGAUGUUUUUACGAAAAUAAAAUCAUUUGAAACUAAGGUUUCCACAGAAUGUUAAUUGAAGAUAUCUGCCUGUACUUCUGCGACCGCAUGAUGAAGAAGAAAAAAAUUCCAAUCUGAAUAACGAGAACUAGAGCGAAGAUCACGAACUUGGAAAGGCACUUAACGUCCAGUCCUUUGGGUUCACAUACAGGUGGUGUGUAAAUUUUAUCACAGG